rnacentral:lncRNA from 1 species
GGCCACCGAGAACCCAGAGCAGAAAACCAGGGCUCCCAGGCAGAGGCAAACGGUGGGUCUCAUGACCAUAGAGUAGCGCAGGGGGUGGCAGAUGGCCACAUAGCGGUCAUAACCCAUCAGGGUAAGGAGGAAGCAGUGGCUGCAUCCCAGACCCAGGAAGAAAAACAUCUGAGCCUGACAGCCAGGGAUGGAGAUGGCCUGGUCUCCAUCAGCAGAUGAGCCAGCAUGCUGGGGAUGGUGACCAGCGUGUAUAGCAGGUCUCCGAGAGGGACAGCACCACCAGGAAGUGGUACAUGGGAGUGUGGCGGGACCUAUCCGCAUGGGUGAUGGUGAUGAUGGUGACGUUGCCACCGAGGGUGACCAGG